rnacentral:tRNA from 4 species
GGGUUAUAGCUCAGCUGGUUAGAGCGCUACGUUGACAUCGUAGAGGUCGUUGGUUCGAUUCCAACUAAUCCC